GUGGGGCCGGGUCAGUGAUUUUCCUGCGACCCCGAUUCGAAAAAGGCUCAUAACUACUGUGUCCCUUCAGAUAUUGCUUUCAUAUUUGGUAUGCAUGUGUAUCUAGACACCACCUAUCCAUUCGCAUACAAUUUUUUACCCUUGACCUUCAACUUUGGGUCAGUUUUAAGGUUUUGAAAUCUGUGACCGCGAUUCGAAAAAGGCUCAUAACUACUGUGUCCCUUCAGAUAUUGCUGUCAUAUUUGGUAUGUAUGUGUAUCUAGACAACAUCUUUUCAUGCGCAUACAAUUUUGUACAUGCUACCUUGACCUUGAACUUGAGGUCAGCGUUCAGGUUUCUGAAUCUGCGA